GCCUACUGUUUAAUUUUGAGGGUUCGUUUUUACGAAUACCCAAAAGUAGCACUUUAAGCAACAGAAUAAACUGAACGCAUGUGAAGUUUGUUUGUUGGCGCUGUGUGUUAGCACUUUAAGCAACGGGAUUUAUCCGUUGGCGCUGUGCUUUAGCACUUUAAGCAACGGAAUUUAUUCGUUGGCGCUGUGCAUUAGCACUUUGAAAACUGCAUAUAUAUAUUUAGUGAUAUGACAUCUAAUUUGUAAUAUAAAGCUGAUAACUUUUUAAAAUUAUCGAAGUUGAUAGCUUCUAAUCUAUCAAACCUUUUUAACUGGUCAA
rnacentral:misc_RNA from 1 species